AUCUCUAUGUUAACCACCAAGACUGACAGGCCUCCGAAGACAGCUCUGCCAAAUGUUGCCGUUUUUGGCCUGCCCUGCCCCUAUCCUUUGCCGAUGAAAGACUUCAGCUGGCAGAGCAACACAAGUGGCUGAAUGUCAAGGAUACAAGCAGCUGAGUGGUGAGCAGAGAAGCAGUGCGCGUCAGAGACUAUGGAUAGACACGGCUAACUUCAGGCGGUGCGGCUUCGGAGAGGAGCCCAGCCAGAGACGGCCGGGCUUCAGGGAAAGAUCACCCUCCCAUCCCCUUUCCAGCCUCCCUUUCUGCUGAGAGCCACCCACCGCUCAAUAAAGUCUGCAUUCAUCACCUUUCUAACAGUUCAUCGGACAUGAACCCAGGUUCUGAGAGGGCAGGGUUUGCCACCCUGACCCUCCACUGACCUGGUUGGCACUUGGCCAUCCCCGGAUGGCAGAACUGAAAGAGCAUUGGUCGUAACAUGCUUGGACGCUGCUGCAGGGCCCACAAGAGCCUGCUCCCACCAGAGAAGAGUGACCAGUCGGUCCCAGGAUUCAUUUGCUCUGGUUCCUGCACUCACUCGCUUGCACGCUCCCUCCUGCCAAGAGUAGCCAGUGCGGGCUGAGUGGAAUGAGCUACUCCAGUUUCCGCCCACGAAGGAGUUCAAGAGAACUAACCCGUCCCAAUAGGAAAGGGAAAAAAAGCAGAGUGGAAGAACCAUGUUUAACCUAUUAAUCUUUUUGCUUCUGUAAUACUUAUAGUUUCCUGAUUUUUUUGAAAAAUAACUUGAGGUGAUGGCUAGCUUUGCUUAAUGAACAACUCAAGCAUAAUUGUUAAAAAUGAGUAAAUUAGGUGUAUGUAAAUGGUAUACAAAUUGAUAAAUGAACUUUUCAGUUUUGAAAACCUUUUACCGUAACUUAAAGUCCUGUUAUGAUUAAGUAAUAUUCAUGAACUGUCUGAGUCAUUUCCAAUUAAGUUAGAAUACUGAAACAUUAAUUUGAACGUAACUUUAAAUUUAUUUUUGGCUUCUUAAAUUUUAUAGAAAGACUAAAUAUGGCUGGGUGCAGUGGCUCAUGCCUGUAAUCCCAGCACUUUGGGAGGCCGAGGUGGGCGGAUCACGAGGUCAGGAGUUCCAGAUCAGCCUGGACAACAUGGUGAAACCCCGUCUCUACUAAAAAUACAAAAAUUUGCUGGGCGCGGUGGUGGGCUUCUGUAAUCCCAGCUACUCAGAGGCUGAGGCAGGAGAAUUGCUUGAACCCAGGAGGUGGAGGUUGCAGUGAGAUCGCGCCACUGCACUCCAGCCUGGGUGACAGAGCAAGACUCUGUCUCAAAAAAUAAGAUAAAAUAAAGACUGAAUAUAUUUUAGUCUAUUUAAAGAAAAGCUAUGGAAAAAUAAAUAUAUUUUGGUCUGUUAAUAUGAAAAAUUGUACUUUGAGAAAGUGCAUAUUUCUAGAAAUUAUGAAACUUAAUUUAUAGAAUACUGAUUCACAAUUGCUAAGGAUUAAAAAUUCCAAUAAUAAAACUACUAUAAAGGAAUUCUGUAUGCAAACUAAAGAAAGUAAGAUGUGUUUUGGUGAGGAAAAAAUAGAAGGAUACUUUUUUCUUAAAAAGAAUAAUUUUGUCUAAUUUGGAGGUUAUUUAAAAGUUGUUUCAAAAUAAGGAUUUUGGAAGGAAAUAGAAAUGAGGUAGGGAGGAACCAGUAAGAGGGAUGUCAAGAAAGUUACAAGUAUGAAAACGUAUGUUUGGCUUAAAAAAAAGUUGAAAAGAGAAAAAGUAAUUUUUUUUUUGUAUGAGGAAGAAUUUGUGUUGUCAAAAUGAUAAGGGAAAAAGGAAAGUAAAUUUUUGUCAUAAAGUAGAAUGAUUGGUUGUUCCAAUAUGAAAAAGAAGGAAGUAUAGAACAAAACUGAAGGUUUAAGCAAGUUGUACAAGAUUUGAGCAAGUUCUAAGAGAUCUGAGCAAGUUGUAGGUGUGUAGGAGAUGAAUCCUAUGAAAAGAAUUUUGUAGGCCAGGCGAGGUGGCUCACACUUGUAAUCCCAGCACUUUGGGAGGCCGAGGUGGACGGAUCACUUGAGGUCAGGAGUUCGAGACCAGCCUGGCCAACAUGGCAGAACCACGUCUCUGCUAAAAAUAAAAAAAUUAGCUGGGUGUGGUGGUGCAUGCCUGUAAUCCCAGCUACUCGGGAGGCUGAGGCAGGAGAAUCACUUGAACCCGGGAGGCAGAGGCUGCAGUGAGCCGCAACUGCGCCAUUGCACUCCAGCCUGGGUGACACAGCAAGACCCUGUCUCAAAAAAAAAGAAUUUUGUAUGUGAUCAAGUUGGCAAAAAUUGGAAGGGAAUUAUUUAUAGGGUUUUCUAAAAAUUAAGCUUUGAGAUCAAAAGUACACUAAUACAAAACUAAAAUUUAGUCCCCUAUGUUAAAACAAGGUUUUCUUAGAGUAUUCAUCUUUUUUUUUUUUCCGGAGACCUUUUUUUGUAUUAAAUGUGUAAACAGUAGUCCUCAUUUUACAAAUUCAAAAUCAGACAAAUGUAUGAGGGUGUAUAAUUGGUAUAUUUAUAAACUGUAUCACCCAAAAAACCACUGCGAUCACAAUCUAUAUUACAUUCAACGUUUGCGUAUUUACAUGAUACUUACUGCAAAGUAAAUACAAAAUGAACUCCCAUCAUCUUAGUUCAGAACACAGGUGAUAUAAUUUCA